rnacentral:sRNA from 1 species
UGUCCAAAAAAUUUUAGUAUGCGCCUA